UACGUAGGGUGCGAGCGUUGUCCGGAAUUACUGGGCGUAAAGAGCUCGUAGGCGGUUUGUCGCGUCUGCUGUGAAAACUCGGGGCUUAACUCCGGGCCUGCAGUGGGUACGGGCAGACUAGAGUGCGGUAGGGGAGACUGGAAUUCCUGGUGUAGCGGUGAAAUGCGCAGAUAUCAGGAGGAACACCGGUGGCGAAGGCGGGUCUCUGGGCCGUAACUGACGCUGAGGAGCGAAAGCAUGGGGAGCGAACAGG
rnacentral:rRNA from 1 species